CCUACGGGUGGCAGCAGUGGGGGAUAUUGCACAAUGGGGGGAACCCUGAUGCAGCGACGCCGCGUGGGUGAAGGAGCGUUUCGGCGCGUAAAGCCCUAUCGGCAGGGAAGAAGAAGGACGGUAUCUGACUAAGAAGCCCCGGCUAACUACGUGCCAGCAGCCGCGGUAAUACGUAGGGGGCAAGCGUUAUCCGGAUUUACUGGGUGGAAAGGGGGCGCAGACGGCAGCGCAAGCCAGGAGUGAAAGCCCGGGGCCCAACCCCGGGACUGCUCUUGGAACUGCGCGGCUGGAGUGCAGGAGGGGCAGGCGGAAUUCCUGGUGUAGCGGGGAAAUGCGUAGAUAUCAGGAGGAACACCGGUGGCGAAGGCGGCCUGCUGGACUGCGACUGACGUUGAGGCCCGAAAGCGUGGGGAGCAAACAGGAUUAGAUACCCUUGUAGUC
rnacentral:rRNA from 1 species